rnacentral:rRNA from 1 species
CGCCUAACACAUGCAAGUCGAACGAAGUAGCAAUACUUAGUGGCAGACGGGUGAGUAACAUGUAGGUAUCUGCCCUUUGGCCUGGAAUAACACGAGGAAACUUGUGCUAAUACCGGAUAAGUCUUUACGGAGAAAGCUUUAUGCACCAUUGGAUGAGCCUGCACUUGAUUAGUUUGUUGGUGGGGUAAUGGCCUACCAAGACUGUGAUCAAUAGCUGAUUUGAGAGGAUGAUCAGCCACAUUGGGACUGAGACACGGCCCAAACUCCUACGGGAGGCAGCAGUGGGGAAUCUUGCACAAUGGAGGAAACUCUGAUGCAGCGAUGCCGCGUGAGUGAAGAAGGCCUUUGGGUUGUAAAGCUCUUUCGUCGGGGAAGAAAAUGACUGUACCCGAAUAAGAAGGUCCGGCUAACUUCGUGCCAGCAGCCGCGGUAAUACGAAGGGACCUAGCGUAGUUCGGAAUUACUGGGCUUAAAGAGUUCGUAGGUGGUUGAAAAAGUUGGUGGUGAAAUCCCAGAGCUUAACUCUGGAACUGCCAUCAAAACUUUUCAGCUAGAGUAUGAUAGAGGAAAGCAGAAUUUCUAGUGUAGAGGUGAAAUUCGUAGAUAUUAGAAAGAAUACCAAUUGCGAAGGCAGCUUUCUGGAUCAUUACUGACACUGAGGAACGAAAGCAUGGGUAGCGAAGAGGAUUAGAUACCCUCGUAGUCCAUGCCGUAAACGAUGUGUGUUAGACGUUGGAAAUUUAUUUUCAGUGUCGCAGCGAAAGCGAUAAACACACCGCCUGGGGAGUACGACCGCAAGGUUAAAACUCAAAUGAAUUGACGGGGACCCGCACAAGUAGUGGAGCAUGUGGUUUAAUUCGAAGAUACGCGCAGAACCUUACCAACACUUGACAUGUUCGUCGCGACUCUAAGAGAUUAGAGUUUUCGGUUCGGCCGGACGAACACAGGUGCUGCAUGGCUGUCGUCAGCUCGUGUCGUGAGAUGUUGGGUUAAGUCCCGCAACGAGCGCAACCCUCACUUUUAGUUGCCAUCAUUAAGUUGGGCACUCUGAAAGAACUGCCAGUGAUAAGCUGGAGGAAGGUGGGGAUGACGUCAAGUCCUCAUGGCCCUUACGUGUUGGGCUACACACGUGCUACAAUGGUAUCUACAACAGGAAGCAAGACUGCGAAGUUAAGCAAAUCCCUAAAAGAUACCUCAGUUCGGAUUGCACUCUGCAACUCGAGUGCAUGAAGCUGGAAUUACUAGUAAUCGUGGAUCAGCGUGCCACGGUGAAUGCGUUCCCGGGUCUUGUACACACCGCCCGUCACACCAUGGGAGUUGGUUCUACCUUAAGGCAAGGUUUUAAACCCU